CAGAAAUCCUUAGGAGGUCAGAGUCAAAAGCUUUCUUCAUGACAAGUGAUUCACAGCUCAAGAUGCCCUCCUGAACCACACUUUUAAUAACUUGGGGAGGCCCAGAGCAAAGGGAGCCUGAAGAAUGUUCAGGGAGGCACCUCAUCCCGAAGUCUCUUCCGUGGAAAAUAAGGAACCGUGUUUUGACUCAAGGAGUGAAAGAAGCAAGUUUAUCUCCUUAGGGCACCCAGAACUAUUGAAGGGACUGAACUGGCCUCUGAAGUCUGGUUUUAGGGAAGAGGAUCAGGACGCUCAAAGGUGAUUCAAAACCCACUCUCUUCUAUAAAAAAGAUUGAAGUUCAAGAACAAUGACCUCACUUCCUCUGAAGUCUGAAAAUGAGAAGUCAUCAUAGCUGAUGAAGAUUCAUUAUGAAGUUGACAAUUGGAGAUUCACCCCGACGCCUGCAGAGAGCUCUGUCAAAGCACAACCUUUCUACCCGACAGUGACUGAGCCCAAUACCCUCCCGCUCGCUGGCUCCGCUGGAAAUCGGCAAUACCUGAAUCAGAAGAGCUUGCUCCUGCCUCCCCUACUCUUCCCCUCCCCCGCAAAGAUGCAGAGCCCCCACCCCAGCCAGACAAUGGAACACCAAAAGCCCGGGGAAGACAGCUCCUCCCCUGGAAUGAGAAACAGCUCGUGGGCUGCUCAUUUACAGCGGAGUAUCUGCGCAGUGCGCCAGAGGAAGGCAACAGCAGGAGUGGGACUUGGGACCGAGGCCAGGAAGGCAAGUGUCAGACAGUUUGAAUGGCUCAGCCGGCUUUAUUUUGCCCGGCAUUGAGUCCGGGUUUUGGAGGGCGCUGAUGAAGCUGCGGCAACUCAUUAAUUACCUGGAGACCCGCAGGGAUUUUUGCUAAAGACAGAAAGCCAAUCAUGUUUGCGAGGCCACCUGGUCAGGCGGCCUCCCCACGUCACCUUUGAUCGAAUCUGAUCAAUAACCUUGCGUUUGUCCUUCCCAAAGCCUGGGAAGAUGAUGAGCCUGCUUACGAUUUAGAAAAUGCCGGCCUUCACAAAAGCCUAGGGAAGUAGGAGCGUUCAGGUACUGUCUCCAUUACACGGAUAAGAAAACUGAGGUUCAAGGAAUAUAACUAACUUGCCCAGGUUCACAGAAGAAACUUUAGAACCCAAGUGUGCUGGCUCUAGGUUCAGUGUAAAGGAAUUGGGUAAGAAUCUGGACUAUGCUACUUACUGUGUGCUCAAUGGCAAAUUAUAGCAUCUCUCCUAGUCUCAGUUUUCUCUUCUAUAAAAUAGGUGGUGGCAGUGGAGGGGAGGAUUCAGUAAUGAAGGUCCCUUCUCAAUCCUUAAAUCUAGGAUCCAGGCCUAUCUCCCCUCUGGGUGGUUGGGCUCUGUUUACACACAGAAGACUUAGCCACUUGAACUGGGAAGGAGUGACUAAUACCUAACCUUCUUGGGCCCCAGUCUCCUCGACUGUCAAAUGAGGAAAUUGAACCAGAUGGCCUCUAGGGUCCUUUGCAGAUCUAGAACUAUGAACUGUCAUCCCAGUUUAGAAAUAUCUUCUCACUGUUUUUAAAAAAAAAUUAAUUAAUUUUGUAAAGAUUUGUUAUUUCUCACUUCCAUUGCCUCACCUUUCAAACAAGUAACAAAAAGGAAAACAGAAAACUUUCACAACAAACAUGCAAAGUCCAGCAAAACAAAUUCUAUGUGGAAAGAGUUAAAGCAUUUAUUCCCUGGCAGGUUAUAUCCUGUGGUAACCCAUUCUAAUCCUCCUCUUUGAGCAGCAGUCUCCCUUCCUUUCCCCUUUCCUUCCUCCUGGUUCCCUUCUUUCUUUCUUCUCUCCCCCCCUUUUUUCUCCCCAUUCCUCCUCCCUAUCCUGGCUGAGCUACUGGGGCAGUUUUAAGCUAUGACUUCACCCCACUGCAUUGCAACAGUCACUGAACAGUGCCCAACUGCUGGAGUUUGUAAUCUGUGUGUUCUAACUCAAGGCCUGCUGAUUUCAUCAUUUUAAAGAUGCCCAUUUCUUCCAAGCCAGGGAUUUUAUGACUCUAAGGAUUCAAAGCUGUUAUCCCAACAAACCCUGGAGCGCUAUAUAUUCUGAUUUUAUGGUAAGCUUCACUAAUAAACUGUUUAAAACAUA